AUUGAGUUACUGAUCAACAGUGAGCAAUGGAAGCUGUUCAAACAGAAAGGAAGCCCAGCCGUGAGGUGGUGCCGCCAACACACUCCUUUGAAGCUCGGCUGGCCCCUGUGGGGAGUGCAGGAGGCUGGGGGUCUACUCCCUACGGUUCCCAGAGAAAUGGUAGCAAGAAGACGGUGUUAUUUCUAAUUGGAUGAUGAAAGUCAGCCUAGGGGACAGAGACCAAAGGGCCAAACGUAAGAAGAGGAGGAAGUGAAAACAUCUGAAUCAAAGGUUGAGGUAAAACUGAGAGACAGGUGUUUGCAGUGAACCAUGCAGUAACCUUCAUCUUGCCCCCUGGUCUUCAGGAAACAAGCAAGUGGGGAAGGACCGAACUAGGGUACUAAAUUUCCAAAUGAUCAGACGUGAAGUUUCAUGGCCCAUAAUGGCUACACAUUUGAAGACUCAAGCAAAUAAAUUAGAAAUAAAGCCUACCAGCAAACCAAAAGAUAAUUACAUGUAAAAGCAAGUCUCCUUGAUUUCUGAUACUUGCGCUUAUGAGAAUGAGAAAACAACGAUAGCACAGAGAGAUGGUGGACAUGGAGGACAGGUCCUGUAGGCUCACUUCAUGGGCUUUUUCAUACCCUGACCACUUUCCACGCUGGAUUCAUUUUACUGUAGUGAAACAAUUGGCUGUAGAUAAUGUUAAAAGAUAGGACUUUGGUAACAGGAGAAUUCAUGGAUUCUUGAA
rnacentral:lncRNA from 1 species